UACGUAGGGUCCAAGCGUUAAUCGGAAUUACUGGGCGUAAAGCGUGCGCAGGUGGUUACGCAAGUCUGAUGUGAAAUCCCCGGGCUCAACCUGGGAACUGCAUUGGAGACUGCGUGGCUAGAGUGUGGCAGAGGGGGGUGGAAUUCCGCGUGUAGCAGUGAAAUGCGUAGAUAUGCGGAGGAACACCGAUGGCGAAGGCAAUCCCCUGGGCCUGCACUGACGCUCAUGCACGAAAGCGUGGGGAGCAAACAGG
rnacentral:rRNA from 1 species